GGCUGAAAUUGCCUUCAUGAAGCUGGAAUUGCUAGUAAUGGCAGGUCAGCAUACUGCCGUGAAUACGUUCCCGGGCCUUGUACACACCGCCCGUCACACCAUGGGAGUCGGAAAUGCCCGAAGUCCGUGACCCAACCUUAGGGAGGGAGCAGCCGAAGGCAGGUCGGAUGACUGGGGUGAAGUCGUAACAAGGUACC
rnacentral:rRNA from 1 species